rnacentral:rRNA from 1 species
UGGCCCAACUGAUUGAUGGUGCUUGCACCUGAUUGACGAUGGAUCACCAGUGAGUGGCGGACGGGUGAGUAACACGUAGGUAACCUGCCCCGGAGCGGGGGAUAACAUUUGGAAACAGAUGCUAAUACCGCAUAACAACAAAAGCCACAUGGCUUUUGUUUGAAAGAUGGCUUUGGCUAUCACUCUGGGAUGGACCUGCGGUGCAUUAGCUAGUUGGUAAGGUAACGGCUUACCAAGGCGAUGAUGCAUAGCCGAGUUGAGAGACUGAUCGGCCACAAUGGAACUGAGACACGGUCCAUACUCCUACGGGAGGCAGCAGUAGGGAAUCUUCCACAAUGGGCGCAAGCCUGAUGGAGCAACACCGCGUGAGUGAAGAAGGGUUUCGGCUCGUAAAGCUCUGUUGUUGGAGAAGAACGUGCGUGAGAGUAACUGUUCACGCAGUGACGGUAUCCAACCAGAAAGUCACGGCUAACUACGUG